UUCUUUAGAGUUUGUUAUUCUGUUGGAUUGAGCCACUUAUCCAUAUUGACAGUUGUUUGAUAUUUCAUGAACCAGAACAGGUUAUUGUUUUUGAUAGAUUGAUCAUUGAAGCUUUAGAAGUGUGUGCUGAGCUUUUCUGGAGAUUGAUCGGCUAAGCUGGUGAGCUUAAUUUUCAGUGCUUAGGGCUUCUUAUGAUUUGUUACUAUAAUGAUUAAUUGGAAUGGGCAAUGAUCAAGGCUUUAAAAUGAUACAUGUUACAACUGUUUGUUGAGUUGCUUUGCUCGUGUGCAUAGAAGGUAAGUGAUGAUGGAGGCUAGUGGGUAAUAAAGGUUUUGCAUUAUUGAAAUUAGAGGGUGUACGGAUAAAAUCUGCAAGCAUACGGAAAUGUUGACAAGUAAUAGAAUAAAUGAGUUGAGUAAUCGUCCCAAAAGGAAUAAUAUUUAAUAAUAGUGUAUUAGUUAAUACCAAAUUCGAUGUAUCGUAAUACAAAAGGGAUUGGGUUUGUUUAUAUUAAUUCUAACUAAGCAAUUAAAAGUGGUUUUAUCGAUAUGAGAUGAACGCAUUGGAUUUUUGAAUCUUCCUAUUAGUGCUAUUUUUCCAAUUCUGGACUCAUAAAAAUAGCAAAUAUUUUUUGAUGUUAAUGACAAUUGAUAAUCUAGUUUUAUUCAAUAUUCUUUUUCAAGACAUUAAAUCAAUGUUUAACAUGACUUGGUCCAAUUCCUAAUUUGAAUUCAUAUGAAAAACAUGUAUUAAUGCACAGGAUUUUUUACAUAAGAUUGCACAUGACAUGAAUAUUAAUCAUAAUCUCUAUUGUAAGUAUGUUAAAUAUGCAGUGUGCUACCUAUUGUGAGCCUUCUAAAACUACGAAUAGGCAACAAGUUAUUUAAGUGGUGGCCAAUUAUUCAAACAACGUAAUAUGAAUUCAUAAGUAAUAAAAAAACUCAAUAGAAUCACUAAAUUCACGAAUCUUGAAUUGAAAUUAACAAUUAACAGGGUUCAUCAUCAUCCAAUACAAGAAGAAUCUAGCUUAACAUUCUUGUAAAUAAAUUACACAAGAAAAUUGAAAAAAAUCACCCGAAAAUAAGAAUUAAUGAAUAAGUAGGAAAGAUCCACGUUCAUGACUUUUUUUUUUUUUUGAAAUCGGGCUAUGAAUCUUCAAAUGCUUUGUAUGAUUUGCUUUGAUUUGAUGUAUAGACUUGUUCUUCGCUUCCAAAAUAUGCAGAAUGAGGUCGAAUGGAGGUUGGGGAUGUUCUAGCUGAGUUUUGGUAUAUAUAGGAUUUCAAAAUAUUGUUUCCAAGUAGAGUUCUUAUUAGAUAAGGAAACCAAAAUUUUUUCGUUGGAAUUAUGCCUCGUGGCCGCAUGGAAGGUGCCAGAUGGGACUUCUUGUUGAUUCGGGGUCGCGGCUGCACAAAAAUCCUUCCUUGCGGCCGCAUAGGCUAAAUUUUGGCUGCAGAACAAUUUUCAGUAUUGUUGUUAUAUUUUUCUCUCUUGUUAUCUGAUUGAGUUGAUUUAAGGUGUGUUGGAAAGUUAACUCAUAGGGCUACAAUUUGUAUUUAGAUAUCGUUUUUCAAUUCGAACGUUUGUUGUGUAAAAAAUAAGUGUCAAUUUGAGACUGAAAAUUCGGAUUGUAACUUUUUCGGUUGGAACUUGAUGUGUGAC
rnacentral:lncRNA from 1 species